rnacentral:rRNA from 1 species
ACCAUGCAGUCGAGCGGGGGACGGUGCUUCGUGUCUGACCUUAACGAGCGACGGAUGAGUAAUGCUUAGGAGUCUGCCUGUUAGUGGGGGACAACUUCUCGAAGGGAAUGCUAAUACCGCAUACGUCCUACGGCAGAAAGCAGGGGAUCACUUGUCACCUUGCUCUAAUACAUGAGUGCGCCUCGGAUUAUAUAUUUGGUGGGGGGGAGGCCUACACCUGGGAGAAUAUGUCUCGGUGGUGAGAGAGAGAUCCCCCCCACUGGGGAUGAGACACGGCCCACACUCCCCUGGGAGACGGCCGUGGGGAAUAUUGGACACUGCGGGCGCCCCUGAUCCACCCACGCCGCGUGUGUGAAAAAACCCUUAUGGGUGUAUAACAUUUUUUUCGAGGAGGAGGCUCUUUUGUGUAAUACCCAAGAUGAGUGUACGUUUCCCCCAAAAAAAACGCCGGUUUAUUCUGUGCCAGCCACCGCGGUAAUACAGAGGGGGGCGGCGUUAAUCUUUUUACUGGGCGUAAAGCGCGCGCAGGCGGUCUGAUCAAGUCAAGAUGUGAAAUCCCCGAGCUCAACUUGGGAACUGCCUUCGAUACUGGCUGGCUAGAGUGUGGGAGAGGAUGGUAGAAUUCCAGGUGUAGCGGUGAAAUGCGUAGAGAUCUGGAGGAAUACCGAUGGCGAAGGCGGCCCUCUGGCCUAACACUGACGCUGAGGUGCGAAAGCGUGGGGGAGCAAACAGGAUUAGAUACCCUGGUACUCCACGCCGUAAACGAUGUCUACUAGCCGUUGGGGCCUUUGAGGCUUGAGUGGCGCAGCUAACGCGAUAAGUAGACCGCCUGGGGAGUACGGCCGCAAGGUUAAAACUCAAAUGAAUUGACGGGGGCCCGCACAAGCGGUGGAGCAUGUGGUUUAAUUGGAUGCAACGCGAAGAACCUUACCUGCUCUUGACAUCCAGGAAACUUUCCAGAGAUGGAUUGGUGCCUUCGGGAAUUUUCAUACAGGUGCUGCAUGGCUGUCGUCAGCUCGUGUUGUGAGAUGUUGGGUUAAGUCCCGCAACGAGCGCAACCCUUUUCCUUUCUUGCCAGCAGUUCGGAUGGGAACUCUAAGGAGACUGCCAGUGACAAACUGGAGGAAGGUGGGGAUGACGUCAAGUCAUCAUGGCCCUUACGACCAGGGCUACACACGUGCUACAAUGGUCGGUACAAAGGGAAGCUACCUCGCGAGAGCAAGCUAAUCUCAAAAAGCCGAUCGUAGUCCG